GUGUUCUGCUGGCCUAAAGGUAGUUCUAGAGGGAGGAAUGCUGUCACCAGGAGACACAACAAUUCCAUUAAACUGGAGGUUCAGAUUGCCACUUUGACACUUUGGGCUUCUCCUGCCUUUAAGUCAACAGGCUAAGAAGCUGCAGUGUUCAUUAGGGUGCCUGACUCUGGACUAUAAAGAUGAUGAAAUCAGUCUACUACUCCAUAAUAAGGGAUGGAGAUGACUAUAGUGAUCUUAGGAACUGCAGAUGAAGAUGGCAGAGCCCCUGUCAGCCUGAGUCUUUGAAUGACAGGUGGGGGAUGAAAGGAAGACAACCUCCACUGAGAAAGAACUACCUUGGGCUAAGAUAAAUAAACUUCUACUGUGUCUGAAA